AAAGGAAUUGACGGGGACCCGCACAAGCAGCGGAGCAUGUGGUUUAAUUCGAAGCAACGCGAAAAACCUUACCAGAGCUUGACAUCCCUCUGACAGGACCUUAAUCGGUCCCUUCUUCGGACAGAGGAGACAGGUGGUGCAUGGUUGUCGUCAGCUCGUGUCGUGAGAUGUUGGGUUAAGUCCCGCAACGAGCGCAACCCUUGUCGUUAGUUACUAACAUUAAGUUGAGAACUCUAGCGAGACUGCCGAGGUUAACUCGGAGGAAGGUGGGGAUGACGUCAAAUCAUCAUGCCCCUUAUGUUCUGGGCUACACACGUGCUACAAUGGUCGGUACAAUGGGAAGCAAACUCGCGAGGGGGAGCAAAUCACCAAAACCGAUCCCAGUUCGGAUUGUAGGCUGCAACUCGCCUACAUGAAGUUGGAGUUGCUAGUAAUCGCAGAUCAGAAUGCUGCGGUGAAUGCGUUCCCGGGUCUUGUACACACCGCCCGU
rnacentral:rRNA from 1 species